GCGACCCCAGGUCAGGCGGAAUUACCCGUUAA
rnacentral:rRNA from 1 species